UCGGUCAAUAACCCUUUAAUAUUUCUAAAAUUCAUAUAUAGUAUAGUCGUCGCAUGCAAAUCGGCCAUUUCUUCGUGUGAACCUCUUAGGUUUAUAAUUAAAACGGGGAUUAUUUUCAUUAUAAAACAACAAGUCAGCACUAUUUAAAGUACGAAAAUGUCAACAAGUGAAAAUGUCAUUUAACUCUGCCUAACAGAAGCUCCAAAACUAAGGCGCUUUUUUACAAUAUUUCCAAACGUUUCCCGAGAAAGACGCCGUAUAGCCAUCAUACAUACGUAAUGAAUCAUUUGAAUGCUGAUUAAAAAAUUCCAUUGCUAAAAAUUCGAACAGGUGAAAACAUAUUCAUUUAACAGAUCUAAGGCUGGUAUACUUUAAUUUAGGGUAUUAUAAUUAGUUGCGGUAGCAAUCAUGCGUUUAUAAAAUGCUCCGCGGUCCGCCGUCCGCGGUCCGCCGUCCGCGGUCCGCGGUCCG
rnacentral:lncRNA from 1 species